rnacentral:rRNA from 1 species
CUGGCUCAGGAUGAACGCUAGCUACAGGCUUAACACAUGCAAGUCGAGGGGCAGCAUGAAGGUAGCAAUACCUUGAUGGCGACCGGCGCACGGGUGCGUAACACGUAUCCAAUCUACCCAUGGCUCGGGGAUAGCCUUCUGAAAGGAAGAUUAAUGCCCGAUGGUCUGUGAUUGAGACAUCUCAAACACAGUAAAGAUUUAUCGGCGAUGGAUGAGGAUGCGUCCGAUUAGAUAGUUGGCGGGGCAACGGCCCACCAAGUCGACGAUCGGUAGGGUUCUGAGAGGAAGGUCCCCCACACUGGAACUGAGACACGGUCCAGACUCCUACGGGAGGCAGCAGUGAGGAAUAUUGGUCAAUGGUCGAGAGACUGAACCAGCCAAGUAGCCGUGAGGGAUGACUGCCCUACGGGUUGUAAACCUCUUUUGUUGGGGAAUAAAGUGCGGGACGUGUCCCGCUUUGUAUGUACCUUACGAAUAAGCAUCGGCUAAUUCCGUGCCAGCCGCAGC